rnacentral:lncRNA from 1 species
UGCAGGAUUUUGGAAGCAAAGACAGAGAGGGCACCUGGAGAAUGGUUGCCAGAGUGAAAUUCCCCAGACAAUAGAGAUAAUUUGGAACUGUUUAAAGAACAAGGGAAGAAGAGCCCAAGGACCGUAGCAAGGCCCUGAUUCUGGGAGACGAGAGAACACGCUGACUUAGAAUGCUUGUCUCUGCAUCCUGGUCAGAAAGUAGAUGGACGACACUUUCAUCUCCGACUGGAUUUUGGUGAGAGAUGGGCAAACCCCGGGCUCUAGGCUGGAGCAGCAGCUCUUGUAUCCACACAAAAUCAGGACUGGUGGAGGGAGCCAUCUUCAAACAUAAAUUUGCGUCUUUUGGCAAUGCACUCCUUGGGUUUGGAAGCUUCCCUCCAAGAUGCUGAGCCCAAUGUUUGGGGAAAGCCAGGGAAACAGAUGCUGGGUCAGUGCUGCUCCCACCUCCUCUGCUCCCCUCCUGAGGGCUCCACUGAGUCACCAGCCAGCAAACAGCCCAUGCGCCCUGGAGCAGAUGGACUGUGGGUACACGAGCCUCUGAACUCUUGGGCAGCAUGGGCACAACAUCCUUUUGGCCUCACCCAAUGACCUGGCUGUGAGGCCAGAGGAGCUCCGUGCUGCUAGGAGAUCCAGGCAGAAACAUCCAGGAGUGGAAGCUCAGCCCAGCGGCUGGGAGGCUGUGGCACCUCCUGUCCACAUGGCAGGCCAGGCCGAGGUGGGCUGGCUACACAGUGGGGCUCCCCCUCUCUGAUAAGGGAUCGAACGGAUGCUUGAAAAUAAAUGGCACCUGUGGAGAAAGUGCCCCAUCCCUGAUUAUGUCAUCGGAGCCUCUGGUCCCCACACCGGCUGGAGGGCCCUGGGCUCAGCACUCUGCCUGACAGGAAGAUGUGAAUGCGGGCAGGGGAUAAAAGACAGUGACUCACUUUGUUUUAUUUUGUUUGCCAGGAAGCCUUUCUGAUGAGCCCAAGCAGCCAUCACUAAAAGAUCCGUGUGAAAUGGAGGCUAAUCUUCUGCAGGCAGGGAUAUGAAAGGAGAGGGUCUUCUAGAAAUGCAGAGACGCCUCCUCUUGACUGAGUUCCUUUCCCCAUGGGACCUCAGUUUCCCCAUCUGUGAAAUGAGGGGGUUUUGUAGGUGAUCUCUAAGAUGCUGUUAUUUGCCAUUAGCUAAGAAGAUGAAGUGCCGUAUGGUCCCUUAUGGUGGGGAUAGGCAGCUUGUGUGGGGUCAGGACUGUCCCUUACGGUGGGGAUGAGCAGGUUUCGUGGGGGAAGGACUGUCCCUAUGGUGGGGGUGAGCAGCUUGCAUGGGGUCAGGACUGGCUUCUUUGGAGGCAUCUGUCUCAGCCCCCCUCAAGGUUAACCUCAUUUCCUGGUGGGAUUGGUGAGUGGAAAAGCCAGAGGGUGAGGAACCAGGGCCUUCUAGGAUGCCAAAGACCCUGUGCAGAGGUUGUCUGCUCUGUGGGGGCUCUAGGCCUCUCUCCUUUAUCCAGGGAAGCUCUUCAGCACUGGGGGAGGAGAAGGGUUUGGGGAAUGGGAGGCCAGCCCAGCAUUCAGGAGCCCAGAUCCUUGGUACUUACCAAACCUCUUUGUGCACCUGCCCCAAG